rnacentral:rRNA from 1 species
UACGAACGCUGGCGGCGUGCCUAAUACAUGCAAGUAGAACGCAGUUGCGAACGGGUGAGUAACGCGUAGGUAACCUGCCUCAUAGCAGGGGUUAACUAUUGGAAACGAUAUCUAAUACCGCAUACUGUGAGAUGGACCUGCGUUGUAUUAGAUAGUUGGGGAGGUAAAGGAGCACCAAGGCGACGAUACAUAGCCGAACUGCGACGGUGAUCGGGCAAGCAGGGACAGGGACACGGCCCAGACUCCGACGGGAGGCAGCCGUGGGGAAUCUUCGGAAAUGGACGGAAAUCUGACCGCGCAGCACUGCGUUAGAGAAAAAGGGUUUCGGAUCGUGAAGCUCUGUUGUGAGAGAAGCGGUAACUAACCAGAAAGCAACGGCUAACUUCGUGCCAGCAGCCGCGGUAAUAC